GCAGAAAGUGGGAUUGCCAUCGCUCAACGGAUAAAAGCUACCCUGGGGAUAACAGGCUUAUCACUCCCAAGAGUUCACAUCGACGGAGUGGUUUGGCACCUCGAUGUCGGCUCAUCGCAUCCCGGGGCUGUAGCAGGUCCCAAGGGUUGGGCUGUUCGCCCAUUAAAGCGGUACGCGAGCUGGGUUCAGAACGUCGUGAGACAGUUCGGUCCCUAUCCGGCGUGGGCGCAGGAAGUUUGAGGGGAGCCGUUCCUAGUACGAGAGGACCGGGACGGACCGACCGCUGGUAUGCCUGUUGGGGAGCAACCCCAUGGCAGGGAAGCCAAGUCGGGAAGGGAUAAACGCUGAAAGCAUCUAAGCGUGAAGCCCCCCCUAAGAUGAGACCUCCCGCGCGUAAGCGUUAAGACCCCUUGAAGACUACGAGGUUGAUAGGACGCAGGUGUAAGUGCAGCAAUGUACUAAGCCAGGCGUUACUAAUAGGUCGAGGGUUUAACCAG
rfam:Johnsonella ignava ATCC 51276 genomic scaffold supercont1.16, whole genome shotgun sequence.